ACAGUACUUGGAAUUGAUCACUAGUAUGGAUUCCUAAGAAAGAUGCUGAAUUAGUGGGAAAAUCUCAUUAAUUUACCAAAGGCAGCUUUGCUUGGCCCAGAGAGCCAGUAUCUUCCAGUAGCAGGCAGACGGAGCCCUGUGCAGAUCCAGUUGCACAGAGCCACCCUUUCCACCCUGCCAGGCCUGGCCAACGAUGGGAUGACCUUUCAAAGAGGGACCUUUGCAGACAGAGUUCCGUUCUUGUUGCCCAGGCUGGAGUGCAAUGGCGUGAUCUCAGCUCACUGCAACCUCUGCCUUCCAAGUUCAAGCGAUUCUCCAGCCUCAGCCUCCCAAGUAGCCAGGAUUACAGGCAGCAGCUACCAUGCCUGGCUAAUUUUUGUGUUUUUAGUAGAGACAGGGUUUCGCCAUGUUGGCCAGGCUGGUCUCAAACUCCUGACCUGAAGUGAUCCCCCUGCCUCAGCCUCCCAAAGUGCUGGGAUUACAGACAUGAGCCACUGCGCCCGGCCUUCCUAACGCUUUUUAGAUCUGUCUCAGUCCACAUGGAGAGUCCAUGUGGCAGCAUCACCAUAAGCAAAGUGCUUCUCCCUGAGUCCAGCACUGAGUUCCUUGAGGGAACAUUUUUUUCUAAGGGCAUAGAUCCUCUGCAGGUACUUUCUUUAAAAAGGUUAUUAACAAGGGAGGUAGAAUAAAAUAGCAGGGGCUGGGCUGAGCAAAGAGAAGGAAAAAGGGUGGGGUGUUACAGUGUGCAACCAAACAGGGUGGGGCUGAGGCUGCCUGUCAAGUACAUGAACCUACUUCAAUCCCAGACAUUUAGAUGGCAAAUCAAGCCCACAUUUUGGGACUAAAAUUUAUUUGUUCUUGGCUGAGGAAUAUUUCAAGUUUUCAAAAAGGACAGAAGAAAUGAGAAAUCAGAACCCUAAAGGUCUU
rnacentral:lncRNA from 1 species